CUGACGAGUCCUAAAUAGGACGAAACGCGCGUC
rnacentral:hammerhead_ribozyme from 1 species